UUAAUGGGCUUCUGUCAUGGCGCCCACAUCUACACGCGUAGCGAGCCGUUCUGCUAUAGUGUUCGAAUCGCCAAUGUAAGCGAUUCAAGCAGUUUAUAGCAGUCUUUCUUCAGGUUCCCCACUAAAGACGAAAGAAUGAAUAUGGCUGGAAGCAA